AAGCAGAAACCCCCACCAAAAACUAGAAGGUAGCAUUAAAAUAGUAUUCAGUGAUGUAUUCUCCUAAAGUACAUGCCUAACUCAAUUGUUACAGGAAUAGAAGCCUGUUCACACAUUCACUAAUUUUUUUAAAUUGCGCUUAUUUUUGUACACCACAGAUUCACUUUGUUUCAAAGGAAAUUUCAGCCAUAUUGCAUACUGGUUUUUUUCCCCCCAGUCUUGAUGCUUACUUCUAAAAGAGGCGAAGCAAGAAGUUAUGGUGCCACCUACAUAAUCAAAAGGUCUUGUGUAAAGGAUGCAAAAACUUGUCAGCUGGGUGUGGUGGUGCAGCAAGCCUGUAACCCCAGCAUUUUGAUAGCCUGAGGCAGGAGGAUUACCACAAAUUCAAAGCCAACCUGCACUUGGGUAGCAAGUACCAGGUUGCCAGGGCUGUAAAGUAAGACCUUGUCUCAAACUUAAAAAAUGAAUAAAUGAAUAAGCUGGAGUUGGUGGCUCACACCUAUAAUCUUCAGCAUUUGUGACGCUGAGGCAGGAGGAUUGAGAUAAAUUUAAUGCCAGUCUAGGUUACAUAGUGCCUUCUGGGCCAGCAGCCUGAACUGUAGAGACUGUCUUGUGGGAGUUUCUAUAAGUAAUCCAUCUUUCAAAUGUAAUAUUCAAAAAUAACACCUGGGAGAUGACAUUCCAUCCCACACCUUUAACCCUUGAAAAGGGGGUACACAGAGAGCAAGGGAGUUAUUUUUACUUAAAUUAAAGGGAAAUGAAUACUAGAUUUUUAAAAAUUAAUUAACAAUGAUUUCAGCAAGUCAUUUAACUGCUCCAAGCCUCAAUUGCUUUCCCAUGGGUAAAAAUGAAGAUGUUGAUGAUAGAAAAUCCCUAUGGAUAGUUGCAGUAAACACUGAUUCUCCCCAGAAAACGGUUCAAGUAACCUUUAGAGCAUGGGUGCUAGUGUGAGCAUUUUUUUAAAAAAGUCAUCUUUGGUUUUGUUUUUAUAAUAAUUUCUUCUGGUGUACUAUAUCAGGAAGGUUGUUCAUGGCUAGAGUAUCCCACAUAUACCAGUCAAAAGAAUAAGGGGAAGACAGUUAUGACGCUCAACAGUUAUGCUGCAUUUGAUGGGGGAUGGGAGGUGGGGAGGAAGCUACCAUAGAAGAGGAUCACUGAAAAGGGAAACUGUAAAUUUCCACCUCUCCUACAGGGAAAAGGCACUUUCAUUUUCUCUCACUCUAAAAAGAGACAACGAAAGCCACAGCAGUCUUCACACACGUUUUCAUUGUAAAGGCAUGCCAAAAUAUUGAAGAGGCACUGUUUUUCUACCUAGGUCACCCAUCUUUAUUUUUAAAUACUGACAACCCGCCCUCACUUCGACGCUCACCAUCCAUUAUAAAAAUAAAUAAAAAAUAAAUUUAAACAUGUCCGCUGUGCCUUUCAGGCAAACAUAUAAACAAUCAUAUCUUCCCCGCAGCGACGCCCAGGACUGAGUCCCACAAGCAGCGAGACUGCAGACUGCGGCGCUGGCUGGGGCCACUCCUCCCGUGGCACUCUGAAGCUGCUCCCCUUCUCCCUUGGGAUUUCUAAGGGACCCGGCUAAGACCCUUCCCUUUAAGUCCAGGCUCGGAAAGGGGAAGCGGAGAGAGCCUGCGGGAGCAGCUCCACUGGAAAACCCCGGGUCCCCUCUCCAGCUGGCUGGAGUGGCCCCGGCGGCGCGCGCCCAGCCUCUCCCAGGUGCAAAAUCAAACACCUUUGUGCUUGCUGUUGUGCUAUCAUUCACUAAUGGAUAUUGUUCUCCCAUUACUAUGGAUAAGCUGAUAUUCUGUACACGGGGCCUGCACUCGUGCACAAGACACGAUACAAAUCCAGUAGUUUCCAAGAUCCAAAUCUAAUUAAGAAAUACUAUAGAAUCAACUCUCGACUCAGCAUCUUCUUCUUGCCGUCUACAUGGUCACAUACCAGUUUUCACUGUGGCAUCUUUGUUACUAAAGAAGAUUGCUUUUGAAAUACAGAACAUGAGUGGGAGAUGUACCUCGGAGGUGGAGUGCUGGCUUGUCAUAUACAAGGUCUCAGCUUUGAUCCCUGAUGGUGGAAAAUGUAAUAAUUAAAAAUCAUGGGGCUGGGGAUUUAGCUCAGUGGUAGAGCACUUACCUAGGAAGCGCAAGGCCCUGGGUUCGGUCCCCAGCUCUGAAAAAAAGAACCAAAAAAAAAAAAAAAAUCAUAAAGGACAGGGCUGGAGAGAUGGCUCAGUGGUUAAGAGCACUGGCUACUCUUCCAGAGGUCCUGAGUUAAAGUCUUAGCAUUUACAUGACGGCUCACUCACAAAUGUCUUUGACUGUAGUCUAAUAGGACUCAAUGCCCUCCUCUGAUGUGCACACAUACCAACAAGACACCCUCAUACAUAAAAUACAUGCAUAAAUAAAUCUUCUUUUAAAAACAUUUUAAAAAAGAAAAAUCACAAAGAAGUCAGGUGUGGUAGCACAUAUUCUUAGUCCCGGCACUCAGAAGACAGAGAAAUAGGAGGGUCCCUGAGUUUGAGGCCAGUCUGAUCUACAGAGCAAGUUUCAGAACAGCCUGGUCUAUAGAUCAAGUUCCAGGAUAGCCAAGACUACACAGAAAAACACUGUGUUAACAAACAAAUAAGAAAGAACCACACGGAGGGUGGAGCAGCACAGGCCUUUAAUCCCAGCACUUGGAUGGCAGAGGCAGGAAAAGUUCCGUGAGUUCCUGGCCAGCCUGGUCUAUAUCAUGAGUUUCAGGUCAGCCAGAGUACAAAUACCCAGUUUCCAAAAAACAAAACAAAAUGACAACAAACCCACAAAGGAAGGGCUAUUAAGAUGGCUCAGCAGGUAAAGGCACUUGUCAUCUGGUCUUACAACCUAAGUUGGGUACCCAGAAUCCACUUAGUGCAAGAAGCACAGACUCCUUACAGGCUGUUCUCUGGCCUCCACACACGCACAGUAGCACUUGGUACCACACAUCAGGUAAAUAUAAUAAAACCUUUACAGCAGUUCUCUGGAACAACUCCCUAAAAUUGUCUGAUUUCUACAUGAGUGUCAUAGAGCGUAGACAUACACACAUCACACGCACAUAUACGGAAUAACAAAUUAAUUUUUUGCAUCUACUUUCUUUUUUUUUUUUUUUUUUUUUUUGAGCUGGGGACCGAACCCAGGGCCUUGCGCUUGCUAGGCAAGCACUCUACCACUGAGCUAAAUCCCCAACCCCAAAUUAAUUUUUUAAUCAUAAAGGAGUGCUAGACAUGGUGGCAAACAUCUGUAAACCAGCAUUUGAGAGAGUAAGGCAAGAGAUUUUCUUUCUUUCUUUUGUUUUCUUUUUUUUUUUUUCGGAGCUGGGGACUGAACCAAACCCAGGGCCUUGCACUUGCUAGGCAAGCACUCUACCACUGAGCUAAAUCCCCAACCCCUCUUUUUUUUUUUUUUAAAGAUUUUAUUUAUUAUAUAUAAGUACACUGUAGCUGUCUUCAGACACACCAGAAGAGGGCAUCGAACCCCAUUACAGGUGGUUGUGAGCUACCAUGUGGUUGCUGGGAAUUGAAUUCAGGACCUCUGGAAGAGCAGUUGACAGUCAUAACUAUAACCACUGAGCCAUCUCUCCAACCCGGCAGGAGACUGUCUGUGAAUUUAAGCCAGCCUGGGCUACAUGGUAAUCUCCUGUCUCAAAAACCUGAAAGAAAUGGGUUUCAGAGUAUGGCUCAGUGAGUAAAGGCAUUCCUAGGAAAGCUGAUAACUGAGGUCAGUCACUGGAGCCCACAUAGAGAAGAGAACAGAGUCCACAAAGUUGUUCUCUGACCACAUACCAUGGCGAGCACUCUUUAAACAAAUCACAAAGGACAGGAGAUUUAGGCAUGAAGUCCAUAAAUACCCCAUGCUUGUGGACAGCCCUGUGAUCUGGGCCCUUUCUGCAUAUCAUUCAGAAAUCAAGUGAUUAUUUUACAGACGGGGACCAUGAGAUUCAGAGAGGCUGUGUUAAGUAGUGACCAAGUAGUAAUUCAAGUAUUUUUUAAAACAAAUACAUUUGUUUGUUUGUUUGUUUAAUCUAUCAAUGUGCCUAUUUAUUUAGACAGGGUCUUACUAUGUAGCCCUGGUUGGUCUAGAAUUUACAGAAAUGCACCUGCUUCUGCCUCCUGGGUGCUGGGAUUAAAGGUGUUCACUAUGCCUGGCUUUAUUUAUUCAUAUUCUGUGAUAAUUUGUUUUUUGUUUUGUUUCUUGGUUUUUAUUGGUUUCGUUUGGGGGUUUUUUUGUGUGUGUUUUUGUUUUUGUUUUUGUUUUUGUUUUUUGAGACAGGGUUUCUCUGUGUGGCCCUGAUUCUCCUAGAACACGUUCUAUACACCAGGCUGGCCUCAAACUCAGAGACAAGCUUGUCUCUGCUUCCAAGUGCUGGGAUUGAAGGCAGCGCCACCACCACUCUCCAGGCCCCAGGCAUGUAUGUGAUAGUUAUUGUUUGAGACAGGAGCCCAUGUAGCACAGGCUGGCCUUAAACUCGAUAUGUAGCUCAGGAUGACCUUCAAUCCCUCGUUCUCCUGUUAUCACCUCUCACAAGCAGAGAAUCUAGGUGUGCACCACUAUGCCUGAUUUAUUUAUUUUUUUCUUUUUUUUGGAGCUGAGGACCGAACCUAGGGCCUUGGGCUUGCUAGGCAAGCACUCUACCACUGAGCUAAAUCCCCAACCCCUCCAUGCCUGAUUUAUGUCGUGUGAUCAAUCUACCAACUAAGCUUAGCCCUACCCCCCUAGAAAUACAAUUCUAUAACAAUUUGAAUUCUGAGCUACGGUUUUAUACUAUACAACAAGAAAAGAAGCAAAAGCCUAAGGAAGAGUUUUCCUUGUCGUGAAGUGAAUUGUGGUGGGACUUAAAACACUGUAUGUCCUAGCACCAGGGUGAGAAUUGACAGCAUUCUCCUGUGAUAAAAUAAGUGUUGACAGGAUCUGGGAUCAAUAAGGCAUGCCUUCUAGGGGUUCCUGUGAUUAGGUUAGCCUCUGGGCUUACCCAUGGGAGGUAGUUGUGAUUAGGCUAAUUGAGAUGGGAAGACCCACCCACAGUGGUUGGUAUCAUUCCCUAGGCUGUGAGCUGAGUGCAAACAGGCAUUGCUUUCUGCUUCCUGACCGUGGGCACAAUGUGACCAGGCCAUCUCAAGUUCCUACUUUCAUCCCUACCUUGCAUAAUGGACUCGUCCUUCAAACGGUAAACCCCAAAUAAAUGUUUUCUUCCUUAAAGUACUCUUAUCAGGAUGUUUAUCACAAGAACAGGAAAAGGAGCCCAGACAUCUGGCCUCUAUCUACUCCAGACUGCACCCAAAGGACCUUUUGCUUCCUUCCUAGACAGAAGGUACAAUUAUGUCGUCUCUCCAUGUCUCAGUUCUGCCUUGGCUUACAGAAUGCAAGGCAUUGGUAGAUUCUGGGUACAUCUGGAGAAGGCGCUAGUGUGUGAAUGUGAGGGAACCCCAGGUAGAGUUGUGAUACCACAUGCUCCUUCCUUAAGCAGCUGGCAUGUAUCGACAGAGACUCCACAGUUCAUGCAUCUUCCACAGAAAUAUGAAUUAGAAGCUUGAGGAAUCCCUUCUUGUUAAGGAGUUGGGCUGGACUGCCAUUCAUCCAGUGGGCCAGUAAAGGUUAACAGAGUGGCACCAGAUGUCCAGCCCACGUGCUCUAGGGCAUGAUUCUUGCCCUUGAGGGUCUGACAGAGGGUAGUAGGGGAAUCACACCUGCUGGAAAGUGCUGAAACAGGAAAGGGGGCUGUAAAAGUCACCAACAGGGCACCUGACCCAAGAACUGGCUGGGCUACAGUCAGAGUGGGCUCCCGGAACCUAAGGGGCAAAAAGUAGCAAGGACGGGUGGGAGAGCAUCCUGUCAAACACAUAGCAGGUGCAAAACCCAGCAUCAGAAAAGAAUGUAGCCUAUCUCGGGAAAGAGGGUCUGUUGUGAUUACAUCGGAGAGCCUGAGGGCCGGGUUGGCAGGCAGAGCUCUAGGAGUGGGCCUGCUGCAAUGAGAGGGUCCUUCAGAGUGUGUGGGAUCUCUGCACAAGGAAACUCCUCAAAGAUCACAGCAAAUAUAGCAGCUCCUUAUUUUCAGCAGAGGCAAGGACCAGAAAAAGAUGGUUUCUACAAGUGCGUCUACCUGGGUGUUCCCUGUUGGUGACUAAAGUCAGAAUGGAUGCUAGUUUUAAAAAAAAAAAAUAGUUCAAAGAGGCCGUGAACCCACCACAGAGCCUGACUUUGGUGGACGCUGGCGCCUAUAAACCCGGCACCUGGGAGCUGGAAGCAAAGGAGGGGAAGAGGUCAAGAGUUCAAGAUGACCUUUCUUCAUCCUUGCCUACGUAGCAAGUUCAAGGACAGACUGAACUUAAAUGAAAUCCUAUCAGAGAAAUAAAGACCCUGACUUUGAGAUCACACUGAAUGUGGAAUCCAUCGCCUGGCUCCAGGCUUCUAGACAUCUCUGAACCUUGGUUUCCCCAUCUGUGAAGCUUCUCUCUCAGGGUAGCCCUGAGGAUACAGGGCAAUGACCAACAGUUUAAAGUCUCUCCCAGGCAGACAUCACUCAUGCUAUACUUAGAGAGGGAGGGUGUUGAGACAGAAUCUUCCUAGAUAACCCCAGGCUGGCUUCAAACUUGCAAUAAUCCUCCUGCCUCAGUCUCUCGAGUUCUGGGAUUAUAGGUGAGCUGUCUAUAUCCUGCCUUGGCUGAGACAUCACAGAAUACUCAGUAAUUUUCAUUGGACCCUUUCUCCUACUCCAUUAAAUCGGUGAUACUAUUAUUUUCUUAGAGCAUGCCAAGGUCCAGUCACCGGGCUAAGGUCAUAAGGCUGUAAGUGCAGACCAGUAACUCCACGCUAGCCCUCACUUCCUGGUGCCCAGUAGAGAACUGCAGAGCCCAAGACGCAGUCCAUGGCAGAGGAGAGGUUUGGCUAUGUGGGCAGCUUGUUAUGCGCGUAUCAGCGACAAGAACCAGAUCACCUUGGGAAUUUGAGCCCAAUCAGGUUCAUUGUCCAUCGCUCCACCUUAACUCUGUGACCAGACCGGGUUGAUGCGGCAGGAUGCUUAGAGAAGGUCUGGUCUCCCUGGCCAGCAGAGGCGCAGGUGCGCUUACAGUUACGCAUGCGUGGCCCGCAGCCUCUGCAGAGCCCGCUGCAGACCUGCGGCAGGCGUGGGAACAAUCCCAGGAGUUACGCUCAGGUCACGUGACGGGGAGAGCUGGGCAGGUAAACAGGAUGUUAAGGAAAGAAAGACAUAGGAGCUGAGGACAGUUUACAAAGGAGCUGCCAGGAGGAGCCCAGGGUAAGAAAACACCUUAGCAAGAAACACGAAUGGGGUGAAUUAGACAGUAAAUAGCAACUGGUAGCAAAUGGGUGCGGUGAUAUAUUUAGAUCAAUUCCAGAGGGCAGAGUGUGGGCCACUUCUCCCGCCACCUGGGGCCUCACUCCUGCCUCAUUCUCCUUCAAAACUGCAUCACCGCUGCGUUCUGGCUGUGUUCUUCUAUGCCUACCCCACCCUCUCCCUCUGACUGUUGGGCCAUUACAUUCCCCAUUCCCUGCACUGUUUUAGGGACAUUUUCUUAAAUAAAUAAUAAAGGUUAUUCGUGUGUGUGUGUGUGUGUGUGUGUGUGUGUGUGUGUGUGUGUGUGUGCUUGUAGAGUUCAGAGACUUGUUUGUGUGAGUCGAGAACAAGCUAUCAAACAGGUUGGCUGGUGUGGCUGUAAAUGCCUUGACCCACUGAGCCAUCUCUUUGGCCCAGGAACAAUCUAUCUACAGGAGAGGGCUGGAGACAUGGCCCAGCAGUUAAGAGCACAGGCUACUCUUUCAGAAGGCCUGGGUUUGAUUCCAAACAAACACACCUCAGCCCACAACCCUCUAACCCCUUUUCCAGGUGAUCUGAUGACUCCUCCAACAUCCUCUGACUCCUUCAUGUAUAUGGGACAUAUGACUGCACUCAGACACAUACACAUAAAUUAAAUAAUUUUGAGGCUUUUUUUUUUAAAGAUAGGGUUUCUCUGUGUAGUCCUGGCUGUCAUAGAACUUGCUCUAAUAGACCAGGCUGGUCUUGAACUCAGAGAUCCUCCUGCCUCUGCCUCCUGAGUGAUGGGACUAAAGGCAUGUGCCACCACCACUGGGCAAAAAUCUUUUUUUUUUUAAAUUUAUUUAUUGGGGUUGGGGAUUUAGCUCAGUGGUAGAGCGCUUGCCUAGCAAGCACAAGGCCCUGGGUUCGGUCCCCACCUCCAAAAAAAAAAGAAAAGGAAAAAAAUUAUUUAUUUAUUAUAUAUCAAUACACUGUAAGCUAUUUUAAGACACACCAGAAGUGGGCAUCAGAUCUCCUUACAGAUGGCUGUGAGCCACCAUGUGGUUGCUGGGAUUUGAACUCAGGACUUCUGGACGAGCAACCAGUGUUCUUAACCACUGAGCCAUCUCUCCAGCCCUGUUUUUUUAAAAGAAGGAAAAAGAUGUCUCUGCCUUGUCACGUCUCAUCCCUACACACAGAGACCCGAAGAGAAGAGCUGGACCUGGACCACCUGAGUCUGGGACCUUGCCCUCAAGCUAGCUUACAAGCUCCCUCGCCUUGCCAUAUGUGUGUGUGUGUGUGUGUGUGUGUGUGUGUGUGUGUGUGUGUGUGUGUAACUCUUACAAUGUAAAGACUGCAGAAGACAAGUAGGUGUGAACCACAGCAUGAAUGGGAGCAGCCUCAUAGUAUGUGUUUUGCCCAGGGGAACAGUCCACACUGGGACCCGGGCAGACUGUAGAAGAAGUUAUACACCACCUCUGGGUGUGGCAAUAGAAGGGUAGAGGGCAGGCGGCAGGGUCUCCUGCUCCCGAGGACUGGACUUGAAUUUUCUAUGCAGUAAGGAUGAACUUGAACUCUGGAGUUUCCUUCCCUCAACUCCCAAGUGCCAGGACUAUCGGGGUGGACCACUAUAUUCAGUCUUUGCAAUGAGAUUUAAAAAAAAAAAAGCAUUUAAUUAUAUGUAUGUGGGUAUCUGUCUGUGUGUGGCUGUGUGCAUGUGAGUGUAGGUGCCCACAGAGCCCAGAGGUACUGGGUCCACGAAGUGGAAACUUAAGGGUUCUUUGGAAAGUCGGUUGGAUGGUGUUUUGCUGGGGCAAACACAUGAAGGAAUGUUUCACUGAAGCAGACACAGGAGAAAGGAUGUUCUGCUGAAGCAAACACGUGAAAGGACAGGUGAUGAAAGAUUCUUUGCUAACAACACACAUGUAUUGGUCUUCCUUGCAAUGUUUAAUUGAGCUGGAUUUGUCAGGACUCCAUAGAGAGAAACGCACCAAGAAACUUCUGGUGGCGUGCUACAGUUCAUCGCGGCUUCUCAGGACUCGGGCUGAUUGGCAGAGUGAUGUCAGCUGAGAGAAGAGACACGCUCAGGCAAGACCAGUGGAGUACACGAGAUGUUUGGAGGGUAUAAAUAGGACUUGAUGGGGUGACAGAGGCUGAGCUUGGCUUACAGGUACAUCUAGCUGUGCAACGCUCUUAGGUCUCCAGUCUUCAUUGACCUUCGCUUCCCUGAGAGAGGUAUAACCUAGAACUUCUCCUGGCAUUCAUCCAGGUCCCCCUUGCUGACUCAAGCCUCCAAGGCUGAGGCCUGGCUGUCUCUGCUAGGUAGUGUCACCACUGAUGACUCCUGUUUGCUGUCCUAACUCUACCGAACUGGACUGCUGGUGUAUCCAUGAAGUGUUUGUGAGUGGAUUGAGCUGCUGCUAGCUGCUGACCUGAGAACUGAACUGCCAAUUUCCAGACAACACAAGUGGGGUUGCCCCAAAGAACCUUUCUAAACAGGCCCACUCCCCCUGUAUCCUUUCUUUCCCACUACCUCUUGUGGGUAGUGAGCUAAAGGGAGGUUAAAGCACUUAAGAACCAUCAUUAAGAUUAGGAUUUGGGGUUGGUAGCUCAGUGGUAGAGUGCUUGCCUAGCAAGCGCAAGGCCCUGGGUUCGGUCCCCAGCUCCGAAAAAAAGAAAAAAAAAAAAAAAGAUUAGGAUUUGAAGAAAGUAAAGUUACAGAUCCCCUGCAUCUGGAGUUACAAGUGAGCGUGAGCCGUGUGGUGUAGGCACUGGGAACCAACUUCAAAGUUCCCUGCAAAACCAGUAACCAGGGGGUUGGGGAUUUAGCUCAGCGGUAGAGCGCUUGCCUAGGAAGCGCAAGGCCCUGGGUUCGGUCCCCAGCUCCGGAAAAAAACAAAACAAACAAAAAAAAAACAGUAACCAGGUGGUAGUACAUGCCUUUGAUCCUAGGACUCAGGAGGUAGAGGCAGGCUCUGUGAGUUCAAGGCCAAGGCCAGCCUGGUCUACAGAGCGAGUUCCAGGACAGACAAGGCAGCCAAGGCUACCCAGAGAAACCCUGUCUCAAAAAAAUGGAAACAGAGGGAAAGGGAGAGGGAGAGGAAAAGGGAGAUGAGUAACUGAUUUUAAUUGCUGAGCCAUUUCUCUAGUUUCUGCAGUGGAAACAGUUUCAAGAUUCCCCAGUCCUG